rnacentral:rRNA from 1 species
GAGAGUAGCUUGCUACUCUGCUGACGAGCGGCGGACGGGUGAGUAAUGCUUGGGAAUGUACCUUAUGGUGGGGGACAACAGUUGGAAACGACUGCUAAUACCGCAUAAUGUCUUCGGACCAAAGCGGGGGACCUUCGGGCCUCGCGCCAUAAGAUCAGCCCAAGUGGGAUUAGCUAGUUGGUGAGGUAAUGGCUCACCAAGGCGACGAUCCCUAGCUGGUUUGAGAGGAUGAUCAGCCACACUGGGACUGAGACACGGCCCAGACUCCUACGGGAGGCAGCAGUGGGGAAUAUUGCACAAUGGGCGCAAGCCUGAUGCAGCCAUGCCGCGUGUGUGAAGAAGGCCUUCGGGUUGUAAAGCACUUUCAGUAAGGAGGAAAGGUUGGAUGUUAAUAGCAUUCAGCUGUGACGUUACUUACAGAAGAAGCACCGGCUAACUCCGUGCCAGCAGCCGCGGUAAUACGGAGGGUGCGAGCGUUAAUCGGAAUUACUGGGCGUAAAGCGUACGCAGGCGGUUUGUUAAGCGAGAUGUGAAAGCCCCGGGCUCAACCUGGGAACUGCAUUUCGAACUGGCAAACUAGAGUGUGAUAGAGGGUGGUAGAAUUUCAGGUGUAGCGGUGAAAUGCGUAGAGAUCUGAAGGAAUACCGAUGGCGAAGGCAGCCACCUGGGUCAACACUGACGCUCAUGUACG